rnacentral:rRNA from 1 species
AUUGAACGCUGGCGGCAGGCUUAACACAUGCAAGUCGAGCGGGGGGAGGUAGCUUGCUACCUAACCUAGCGGCGGACGGGUGAGUAAUGCUUAGGAAUCUGCCUAUUAGUGGGGGACAACAUUUCGAAAGGGAUGCUAAUACCGCAUACGCCCUAAGGGGGAAAGCAGGGGAUCUUCGGACCUUGCGCUAAUAGAUGAGCCUAAGUCGGGUUAGCUAGUUGGUGGGGUAAAGGCCUACCAAGGCGACGAUCUGUAGCGGGUCUGAGAGGAUGAUCCGCAACACUGGGACUGGGACACGGCCCAGACUCCUACGGGAGGCAGCAGUGGGGAAUAUUGGACAAUGGGCGGAAGCCUGAUCCAGCCAUGCCGUGUGUGUGAAGAAGGCCUUUUGGUUGUAAAGCACUUUAAGCGAGGAGGAGGCUACCUGGAUUAAUACUCUAGGAUAGUGGACGUUACUCGCAGAAUAAGCACCGGCUAACUCUGUGCCAGCCGCCGCCGUAAAAC